rnacentral:misc_RNA from 1 species
AACGCACAUUGCGCCCUCUGGUAUUCCAGGGGGCAUACCUGUUUGAGCGUCAUUUCAUUCUUAAAACAUAAGUUUUAGUGUUGAGAUUGUUUGUAUUAAUACAAUAACUCGAAAUGAAUUGGGCAGAGGCAACUUUAGCUUUUAUACAACGUAUUAGGUUUUACCAUCUCGUUGGACAAACGGAAGCUAUUGCGGCAUCGGCGUUAUAACGAAUUAUAAGUUUGACCUCAAAUCAGGUAAGAUUACCCGCUGAACUUAA